UUAGGAGCCAAAACAAUGGAUGAAAGGAUCGAGUGAGAUGCGAAAAAAAAAAAACCAGAGGAGAGAAUUUGAAGAGAAUCAAGAUUCAGCCUUUGUUUUAGUUCUAAUUUGUCCUACAACAGUGAAACAUUCCCAGAUUGGCCUCAGGUAGUGGUACGUUUCCAGCUAUAUUAUGUGACGUGUAACAGAGAUGCAUAAAAAGCCACAUGAGUAUGUUCAGAUACCCACACCCUAACUGGAGCUAAAGAGCAGCAGCUUUUGAAGACAAGGUUGAGCAGCACCAAGGAGGAAAGCCUGUCCCCCACUUCCUUCACCAUCACAGAGGUUCUGGAAGUAGUCCUUGCUUAGCUUUCCAAGUGAAAGCUGCUACCAACAGUACUGAAUUACUUAAAAAUUGAUGUUUAUUGUCCACAUGGUGUGCAGCUGAGCGAGCUGCUGUGGCUCCUUGCAAGAGGAAAAAUGCUUGUUGAAUGAACCAUGAUCUGCCCCCACCUCUUUUUUUUUUUUUUUAUUUAGCUUUAAUUGAAUGUGGGAGAGACAGGUUUGGAACUGCUUUUGGGUGAUGGCAGAGGAACUUCUUUUAAGUAAUCUGGGGUGGUUCCAAAAGGCAUUCCAGUUCUCAGAAAAUGUCCAGGGCUGCCGUGCGCUGUGACGCAGGAUGGAGCAGCUGCACACUGGGGAUUGUGCUCCGAGGGAAAGGAACAGAUUCGGAGUGUUCAAACCACGAGUCCUCCUACCUCUCCUUUCCGCUGGAGUCAGCAGCUCUGCCGAAGUCCCGCUGCCCAUUUUAGCUUCUGAAAGACUAGACUAAUUGCUAACAUCUCCUACGAGGACAGAUGUGUACAGAAAAGAUGUACACUAAAAGAGACGCAUAAUAUUUGCCAUUUCAAACAGUGUUCAGCUUUGUAAAGUUGUUUUUAUGCAUUGAAGUGAAAUGUUUAAGUUAAUUGAGUUGAAUACAACGAUAGCUGGCAGCUGUAUCAUAAUAACCCUUCGAUAUACACGCAGACACAAGGAAGCAUAGAAGCAUUGCUAUUGUUUGUUGCUUUAUUCUGCCUUUGACUUUUUCUUUUUAAUGUCAUUUUUUCUUUUAAGGUUAUCUGCUCUGAUCUGCAGUAAUGUGGAUGCGUAACUGACUGUAUUUGGACUAAAGAUAUUCUUGUCUGUAUGUUUUCCUCGCCAGGCAUUUAGACUAUAAGCUAUAUUGAAAGCAUCAGGCAGAAAGCUAUACUGAAAACAUCAGACAUAAAUAGUUUAAUAUUAAA